CGGCGCGGCGCCGGCGGGCCCGGGAACUGCCCCGGGAUGCGCCAUUCCUGAGCUCUCUGCGGCUGAAUAGGAUGUCAGCCGUUGCAGCCAGCGAGCGGUGAACUGUGAAGUGCCACUGGGAGCACCUCUGGCCCAAAGGAGCAAGUCGAUCCGUGGUGGGAGCUAUGAGGUAUUCUGGGGUCACUGCUCAAACAGAGCAGUUCCCAGUUCACAGGAGAUAUAGAGGCAUCAACAGGACUAAAAAGAGCACAUUUUUAAGCUUUAUUAAAGGCCCUAGGCAACAGAUUUCUUUCUGUAAUAUAUUUUAAUCUACCAACUGAUUUAUGGAUAAUAAAGCUGCAUGAGAAGUUUUCAAUGGAAUUGGAGUCAAGAUUGGCCAUGGUGUCAUUACAGAAUGGAGGACCCUUCACCCAAACAUCACAAGCUAUAACCACUAAAUCAUCUGCGAUGGGCUGCUGAGCCUGUACAUUCCUGUGUGUAAAAGUCUAGAAAGGAUUUUUACGUCUUCUGGUCUCCCAGCACACUGGGUCCCAAAUCCAGUCUGAGACUGCCUUGGCCUCACUUUGUGCCUUUUGCUAGCUCCAGUGGUCAGAAACCACCUCCUGAUUUCCAAACUCAUUUUUUUCCUGGCUGGUUGGUGCCUUUUGUUGUUGUUGGACCAAUAUUAUAUUUUAUCUGAAAUAGCUGUUCCCUUCUGAGAGUUUACUCACCUGAUAUAGAAGAGCCUUGUCUUUCCUGAGGGUCUUGCUCAAUGAAGCAAACCAAGUUGUCCUAGUCCUCUCUAGUAAAUACAGUGAGUAACUCUGCUUAUCCUAAAAGCUCUCUCCUGUGUCUAGUCCAGUUAAAAUUCAGCUUUCUUGUAUGUAAGUGACUAGAACUAUAUGAGAGCCUAAGGAGUUGUUAAAGUCACCACAACAUUUCACUUGCCUUUGUUGUGGCUGCAAGUUGUGGAGACAUCUGUGAAUACACGUGUGCUUUGUGUAAUGUCCAAGUGUAUAUAUGUAUGCAAGUACACAUGUGCACCCCCACACACCACACACAUAUCCACACAUUGCUUUGCGUGUUUGUUGCCAGCUGAGGAACUCUCAGAUUACAGUGCACAUUUUUAGUACUGUUGCUGAAGUGCAUGCCCUUGUGUGUUAUGGUACUCUGUUGGGAUUCCUCCUCUCCUCAUGAUCACCUCUCUCUGUGUGAAAGACAGUCUCCUCCAUACUGAGGAUAGUGUAUUUGGCAAAUUUAGUUACCACUUGUCCAUUUUUUGCACUAUCAAUAUUGCUAAAACUAAACCAGACCCAGUUCUUGAAAAACUUUGCUCAUCAUCUUCUUCCAGAUCUGUACCAUCCCUUCCAGCCAAUCCUGCUGACAUUCUCUCUUCAAGCAUCCUUAUGCUACAUGGCUUGCAUUUGUUCUGCUCAAAAUAAAAUUAUUUCCUGGGUGACUGUAUAGUAGAUGUUUUACAGAUGUUUAGAUAAAUGAAAUUUUGGUCUUAGUAUUGCAUAAUAAUAAUAGUUUAAAAAUAUCAAUUAUAGUUUCUAAGAAAGAUGCUAGAUUCAUCUGACACGUACAUUGCAUUACUCUUCCUUCCAUCUUCACAGGUUUAAUUAGUUUUUCUUCAAAAAUUAUUCCAAGUCCUCUCCUCUUUUGCUUAAGUUUGUUUAAGAUCUCUACUCUCAGAGUUGUGACUGUAAGAGUCCAGUCUAGUAUGGACUAAUUCUCUGGUUCUGACUAUGCUUCUGAUAUUGAGAUGACAGCUACUUCCCUCUCUGUGUGUGAGUUAUUGUAUGCAAGAGCAUAUCCCUAAUGUCAUUGUUGCCCAUUAAAGAACAAAAAACUCUC